rnacentral:lncRNA from 1 species
UUUACUAUUACCUUGUCACAAAGGCGUAGCUGAUGUAGGUACAGACGUAGACAAUGCACCAUACUCUUGAGAUGAUGUCGCGCUCACAAUCCGAGGUGGGGCUGCUCUAGUAGGUGCAACGGUGGAGGAACCAACCGGCGGUGGUGAGCAUGAACUGGAAUAGUAGUUGUUGUAGUCACCCAAUGCAUCCUCCUGUAUCUGUCUCUCAAAGGUACAAGCACGAACAUACAUACCAGUAAUGCAACGAGGAAUAUACUGAAAUCUUGCCUGAAUAUCAUGGUUCAAACCACCAAAAAAUCUAUUCACUGUAUCAUCCUUAGAUUCUUCUAUGUCACAAUGAUGCAUAUAAGAUUUGAACUCUUUGUAGUAAGCAUGAACAGUGUUGUUGCCUUGUUUAAAUUGUUCAAAUUUGCGAAGCAAUUCACGACGAUAGUAAGGAGGGAAAAAAUGUUGUCUCAUUACAUCUUUCAAAUCUUUCCAAGUUGUGGGUUGGUUAUCAAUAUUUUUCUUACAAUGCACACUCCACCAAACUGAAGCAAAACCAGUCAAUGCUCUAGUGGCAGCUCGUACUCGCUCAAGUUCAGAAAAGUCAUGGUUACUAAAAACUUGUUCUACUUCAAACUCCCAAGCUAGAUAAAUAGCAGGAUUAAAUCUACCCUCAAAUGACGGUAAAGAGAUAACCUGACCAUGUGGUUGUGUGUGUUGUCCCAACUCUCGUGAUGGUGAAGAUGUGUCUCUCGUCCAAGAACUUCUAUCUCCAGAACCUGUCAUGAUUAGUAGAAACAAGAGACAAAAUUCCAGAAUAAUGUUCCUAUGAACUACUAGGAUGUGGUUGUAAAGUGCUCACAGUAAAGCAAAUAUCAAUAUCUUACAAGUUCUUACCAUGCGGCAGGUGGUGACAGGCAACCAGCGAUGUCAAAUAACUCUGAAGAUUGUGUAAAGCGAUUGCCAGGGGAACGUACGUAUACACGGUGUAGAAAUAUGUGGAGCUGGGUUGGCUAUAUAUGGUAGCAAAAGAUUAGCAAUAAUCAAUUCAGAGAUGCAAUGUUGAAUAAACGCUCAACGACAGUAUUGUGCUGGUCCUAGGCUAGACCGUGCUAGAGACGCGAGCCUAGAACACUAAUAAAAUCACGGCGCUGCACGUAAACAAGGGAAAAGCACACUCUAGAAUUUUUCUUUCGCUCUUUUUUUUGCGCUGCUUUUUUUUUGCGAAAAAUCACUAUAAUGGCGAGUGUCUCAAUACUCUUCCCAGGUCAAACUGACAGGAUGGGCAUGAAAUUUUUUCGACCAAUUUUUUUUUUCGACUGCCUGGACCCAAAAACUGGAAACGGGUCAAAAAAAACUUUCUAUAACGGCGACUGUCUCAAUAUGCUUAGAAACACCUAAAAAUAGGAUAGCCAGAAAUUUUUUUGUCAACUGCGUUUUCCGAAAAUUUUGGGCCUAAACGGAGGGUGGUUUCCGGACUCUUUUUUUUUUUGGAAACCAACCUCUUCUACGGACGGCAAAAGAUUGCUGGAAUCCGAAACCUACUCAGACAAGGAAACACGAAUCGGAAAUUAGAUGGAUCCCGAAAACAACCCUAAUAUGCAAGGAACUCGGAUUGGUGGUGGAUAUAUGGUGGUGGUAUAUGGCAGCGGUGGUGGUAUAUGGCAGCGGUGGUGGUAUAUGGAUACGGAUUCGAAGCGGUGGCGGAUAAGCGGUGGUGGUAGAUGGCAGGGGCGAUGAUGAUGGUGCGGCGGCGGCGUGACAACUUAUGACCAGAACUCGAAACUCUAAAAGACUAGACUCUAAGACCAGCAACUAGACACGACGAUGCAACCGCAAAUUCAACAACGCAAAUACAGAAAAGAUUAUGCAAAGGCUCAGAUUGGUUCGGAUAUGAUGAACUAACCCUAAUUUUUUUGUGGCUUUUUCGUGGACUGUAGGUAUGAAUAACAGACUCGAUCUAAACUACGAAAAACUAUAAAAUCUCACCGAGCAACCUGGAAAUCUGAUACCACUUGAUAGAGGCAAAGGUGUCCCGUCUUUCGAUGAGAUGGUGGAUUUCGCUUUGGUGGAAGUCGACUUUGACGAUCCGACUACGAACUUGCGAGGACAUCGCGCCUUAGCAAUCACUAAACCAACUCCGAGAGGUUAUUGACCACGCCGGAGCACGAUCAACCUGACCACGAGGGUCUAUUUCCUAUGAGCAAACGAAGAACACGCAAGAAACUGAGAUUGCAAUCUGGAUAUUGUGAAUAUAAGAUGAAAGCUUUAUUGAUCAAGGUGGGGUUCUGUGACGCCUUUGUCUGGUCGUUGAACGCAAACGAAGUACGCGAAGUUGCAGCUAUGGCGAACUCUUAAUCUAAACAAAACCCAAAGGAAAAGCUACUAAAUGGAUCUACUUAUAUAGGAGCAAGGGGUGGCGGCCAAGGAGGUGGGAGGACGUCCCAAGGCAGCCUAAAACUAACCCUAGGUCGUACAAGGCCAAUGGGCCCAAGUGGGGGUGACGUAACACCUUUGGACUUGUAGUUUCACUCGGAUUCUGGUGCAGCAUCAGAUUGUUUCGUCCAUAACACAAAGCUCCGGACGUAUUUUAAGGUGAUUCUAAUUGUGUUGGAAAGAGCAUGAAAUCUACUUUCCAACAAAAAAAGAAUCACCCAAUUCGGAGUCCGUAUGAAAAAGUUGUUGGCGUUUUGAGUCAGGUAUGUCUACGCAGUCCGAAUCUGAAUCCAGAACGUGAGAGACUUGGACUCUAUCUUCUCUUGACCCAAAAGUGACGUGAGAGGACUUUUUGAACAGCACCUAAACUUCUCCUUUUCCCUUAUCUUCAUAUGUGGAUUGUACAAAUGUCCCAUACACCUGCAAUUAGACAAAACACAAAAGUGUGUGAAGUAUGUUUGUUCUGGAUAACAUAAAUAGAUUAUUGAAUAGUUUGCACUAGAAAUCACCUGACAAAUAUGCAUGUAUGCAAUAUUUUUGGUCAUAUCCAAGGUAGUCAUGUCCUCAUCAUCCUCCCCUUCUUGAAAAUAAAGCCGUCCACGGCAUUGCUUAAUCUGAAAUGUGGCUAACAAUAGAGACAAGGUGUACAUGUUGUAUAUGUAUAUGUCAUCCAUUUUUACUUCCCUCGAUUUUUGCAUAUAUGACACAUGAAUAGAUGAGUAACUUGCAUAGUUCAUAAAAUCUAAAGCCAAAAAAUUAGCACAAGAAGUAGAAGGCAUGAAAAUAUUGCAACUCAGUUUGCACAUAUAAGUGAAGCUCUUAUUCAUUUCAAAAGAUUAACAAUAUUCAUCAUUAAACCAUCCCAACAUUGGUGAAUAAACCUUACUUGCAUCAAAUUUACAUGCUACAAUAUGCUUAAAUAAGCAAACAUGCAAUAAGUCAUUCAACACAGAAUCAUCACCAGGAUUAGAGGUCAUAUAAAAAAACAGUUAAUUCAAUGGGUGCACUCAAAAUUGUUGGUAUUUCAGUUGUUUGAUCACAUGACGCAUUCACGACAGUAUCAAGAUUCUCUAAAAUAGGUGAUGUGCUCAAAUCACCAGGUAACUCAACACAUGAUGCAUUCAAGUUAACUAGGGAUGCAUCAUUCUCAUGUGAAGUUAUAUCAUCAAUACCUUUACUAUUACCUUGUCACAAAGGCAUAGCUGAUGUAGGUACAGACGUAGACAAUGCACCAUACUCUUGAGAUGAUGUCGCGCUCACAAUCCGAGGUGGGGCUGCUCUAGUAGGUGCAACGGUGGAGGAACCAACCGGCGGUGGUGAGCAUGAUCUGGAAUAGUAGUUGUUGUAGUCAUCCAAUGCAUCCUCCUGUAUCUGUCUCUCAAAGGUACAAGCACGAACAUACAUACCAGUAAUGCAACGAGGAAUAUACUGAAAUCUUGCCUGAAUAUCAUGGUUCAAACCACCAAAAAAUCUAUUCAUUGUAUCAUCCUUAGAUUCUUCUAUGUCACAAUGAUGCAUAUAAGAUUUGAACUCUUUGUAGUAAGCAUGAACAGUGUUGUUGCCUUGUUUAAAUUGUUCAAAUUUGCGAAGCAAUUCACGAUGAUAGUAAGGAGGGAAAAAAUGUUGUCUCAUUACAUCUUUCAAAUCUUUCCAAGUUGUGGGUUGGUUAUCAAUAUUUUUCUUACAAUGCACACUCCACCAAACUGAAGCAAAACCAGUCAAUGCUCUAGUGGCAGCUCGUACUCGCUCAAGUUCAGAAAAGUCAUGGUUACUAAAAACUUGUUCUACUUCAAACUCCCAAGCUAGAUAAAUAACAGGAUUAAAUCUACCCUCAAAUGACGGUAAAGAGAUAACCUGACCAUGUGGUUGUGUGUGUUGUCCCAACUCUCGUGAUGGUGAAGAUGUGUCCGUCGUCCAAGAACUUCUAUCUCCGGAACCUGUCAUGAUUAGUAGAAACAAGAAACAAAAUUCCAGAAUAAUGUUCCUAUGAACUACUAGGAUGUGGUUGUAAAGUGCUCACAGUAAAGCAAAUAUCAAUAUCUUACAAGUUCUUACCAUGCGGCAGGUGGUGACAGGCAACCAGCGAUGUCAAAUAACUCUGAAGAUUGUGUAAAGCGAUUGCCAGGGGAACGUACGUAUACACGGUGUAGAAAUAUGUGGAGCUGGGUUGGCUAUAUAUGGUAGCAAAAGAUUAGCAAUAAUCAAUUCAGAGAUGCAAUGUUGAAUAAACGCUCAACGACGGUACUGUGCUGGUCCUAGGCUAGACCGUGCUAGAGACGCGAGCCUAGAACACUAACAAAAUCACGGCGCUGCACAUAAACAAGGGAAAAGCACACUCUGGAAUUUUUUUUCGCUCUUUUUUUUGCGCUGCUUUUUUUUUGCGAAAAAUCACUAUAAUGCCGAGUGUCUCAAAACUCUUCCCAGGUCAAACUGACAGGAUGAGCACGAAAUUUUUUCGACCAAUUUUUUUUUCGACUGCCUGGACCCAAAAACUGGAAACGGGUCAAAAAAAACUUUCUAUAACGGCGACUAUCUCAAUACGCUUAGAAACACCUAAAAAUAGGAUAGCCAGAAAUUUUUUUGUCAACUGCGUUUUCCGAAAAUUUUGGGCCUAAACGGAGGGUGGUUUCCGGACUCUCUUUUUUUUUGGAAACCAACCUCUUCUACGGACGGCAAAAGAUUGCUGGAAUCCGAAACCUACUCAGACAAGGAAACACGAAUCGGAAAUUAGAUGGAUCCCGAAAACAACCCUAAUAUGCAAGGAACUCGGAUUGGUGGUGGAUAUAUGGUGGUGGUAUAUGGCAGCGGUGGUGGUAUAUGGAUACGGAUUCGAAGCGGUGGCGAAUAAGCGGUGGUGGUAGAUGGCAGGGGCGAUGAUGAUGGUGCGGCGGCGGCGUGACAACUUAUGACCAGAACUCGAAACUCUAAAAGACUAGACUCUAAGACCAGCAACUAGACACGACGAUGCAACCGCAAAUUCAACGACGCAAAUAUAGAAAAGAUUAUGCAAAGGCUCAGAUUGGUUCGAUAUGAUGAACUAACCCUAAUUUUUUGUGGCUUUUUCGUGGACUGUAGGUAUGAAGAACAGACUCGAUCUAAACUACGAAAAACUAUAAAAUCUCACCGAGCAACCUGGAAAUCUGAUACCACUUGAUAGAGGCAAAGGUGUCCCGUCUUUCGAUGAGAUGGUGGAUUUCGCUUUGGUGGAAGUCGACUUUGACGAUCCGACUACGAACGUGCGAGGACGUCGCGCCUUAGCAAUCACUAAACCAACUCCGAGAGGUUAUUGACCACGCCGGAGCACGAUCAACCUGACCACGAGGGUCUAUUUCCUACGAGCAAACGAAGAACAAGCAAGAAACUGAGAUUGCAAUCUGGAUAUUGCGAAUAUAAGAUGAAAGCUUUAUUGAUCAAGGUGGGGUUCUGUGACGCCUUUGUCUGGUCGUUGAACACAAACGAAGUACGCGAAGUUGCAGCUAUGGCGAACUUUUAAUCUAAACAAAACCCAAAGGAAAAGCUACUAGAUGGAUCUACUUAUAUAGGAGCAAGGGGUGGCGGCCAAGGAGGUGGGAGGACGUCCCAAGGCAGCCUAAAACUAACCCUAGGUCGUACAAGGCCAAUGGGCCCAAGUGGGGGUGACGUAACACCUUUGGACUUGUAGUUUGACUCGGAUUCUGGUGCAGCAUCAGAUUGUUUCGUCCAUAACACAAAGCUCCGGACGUAUUUUAAGGUGAUUCUAAUUGUGUUGGAAAGAGCAUGAAAUCUACUUUCCAACAAAAAAAGAAUCACCCAAUUCGGAGUCCGUAUGAAAAAGUUGUUGGCGUUUUGAGUCAGGUAUGUCUACGCAGUCCGAAUCUGAAUCCAGAACGUGAGAGACUUGGACUCUAUCUUCUCUUGACCCAAAAGUGACGUGAGAGGACUUUUUGAACAUCACCUAAACUUCUCCUUUUCCCUUAUCUUCAUAUGUGGAUUGUACAAAUGUCCCAUACACCUGCAAUUAGACAAAACACAAAAAUGUGUGAAGUAUGUUUGUUCUGGAUAACAUAAAUAGAUUAUUGAAUAGUUUGCACUAGAAAUCACCUGACAAAUAUGCAUGUAUGCAAUAUUUUUGGUCAUAUCCAAGGUAGUCAUGUCCUCAUCAUCCUCCCCUUCUUGAAAAUAAAGCCGUCCUCGGCGUUGCUUAAUCUGAAAUGUGGCUAACAAAAGAGACAAGGUGUACAUGUUGUAUAUGUAUAUGCCAUCCAUUUUUAGUUCCCUCGAUUUUUGCAUAUAUGACACAUGAAUAGAUGAGUAACUUGCAUAGUUCAUAAAAUCUAAAGCCAAAAAAUUAGCACAAGAAGUAGAAGGCAUGAAAAUAUUGCAACUCAGUUUGCACAUAUAAGUGAAGCUCUUAUUCAUUUCAAAAGAUUGACAAUAUUCAUCAUUAAACCAUCCCAACAUUGGUGAAUAAACCUUACUUGCAUCAAAUUUACAUGCUACAAUAUGCUUAAAUAAGCAAACAUGCAAUAAGUCAUUCAACACAGAAUCAUCACCAGGAUUAGAGGUCAUAUCAAAAUGAUUAAACAUUGAUUCUUUUGCAUCAAUAGUUAAUUCAAUGGGUGCACUCAAAAUUGUUGGUAUUUCAGUUGUUUGAUCACAUGACGCAUUCACGACAGUAUCAAGAUUCUCUAAAAUAGGUGAUGUGCUCAAAUCACCAGGUAACUCAACACAUGAUGCAUUCAAGUUAACUAGGGAUGCAUCAUUCUCAUGUGAAGUUAUAUCAUCAAUACCUUUACUAUUACCUUGUCGCAAAGGCGUAGCUGAUGUAGGUACAGACGUAGACAAUGCACCAUACUCUUGAGAUGAUGUCGCGCUCACAAUCCAAGGUGGGGCUGCUCUAGUAGGUGCAACGGUGGAGGAACCAACCGGCGGUGGUGAGCAUGAACUGGAAUAGUAGUUGUUGUAGUCACCCAAUGCAUCCUCCUGUAUCUGUCUCUCAAAGGUACAAGCACGAACAUGCAUACCAGUAAUGCAACGAGGAAUAUACUGAAAUCUUGCCUGAAUAUCAUGGUUCAAACCACCAAAAAAUCUAUUCAUUGUAUCAUCCUUAGAUUCUUCUAUGUCACAAUGAUGCAUAUAAGAUUUGAACUCUUUGUAGUAAGCAUGAACAGUGUUGUUGCCUUGUUUAAAUUAUUCAAAUUUGCGAAGCAAUUCACGACGAUAGUAAGGAGGGAAAAAAUAUUGUCUCAUUACAUCUUUCAAAUCUUUCCAAGUUGUGGGUUGGUUAUCAAUAUUUUUCUUACAAUGCACACUCCACCAAACUGAAGCAAAACCAGUCAAUGCUCUAGUGGCAGCUCGUACUCGCUCAAGUUCAGAAAAGUCAUGGUUACUAAAAACUUGUUCUACUUCAAACUCCCAAGCUAGAUAAAUAGCAGGAUUAAAUCUACCCUCAAAUGACGGUAAAGAGAUAACCUGACCAUGUGGUUGUGUGUGUUGUCCCAACUCUCGUGAUGGUGAAGAUGUGUCCGUCGUCCAAGAACUUCUAUCUCCGAAACCUGUCAUGAUUAGUAGAAACAAGAAACAAAAUUCCAGAACAAUGUUCCUAUGAACUACUAGGAUGUGGUUGUAAAGUGCUCACAGUAAAGCAAAUAUCAAUAUCUUACAAGUUCUUACCAUGCGGCAGGUGGUGACAGGCAACCAGCGAUGUCAAAUAACUCUGAAGAUUGUGUAAAGCGAUUGCCAGGGGAACGUACGUAUACACGGUGUAGAAAUAUGUGGAGCUGGGUUGGCUAUAUAUGGUAGCAAAAGAUUAGCAAUAAUCAAUUCAGAGAUGCAAUGUUGAAUAAACGCUCAACGACGGUACUGUGCUGGUCCUAGGCUAGACCG